GAUGAACGCUGGCGGCGUGCUUAACACAUGCAAGUCGAACGGAAAGGCCCAAGCUUGCUUGGGUACUCGAGUGGCGAACGGGUGAGUAACACGUGGGUGAUCUGCCCUGCACUUCGGGAUAAGCCUGGGAAACUGGGUCUAAUACCGGAUAGGACCACUUCUUGGAUGUUGUGGUGGAAAGUUUUUUCGGUGUGGGAUGAGCUCGCGGCCUAUCAGCUUGUUGGUGGGGUAAUGGCCUACCAAGGCGUCGACGGGUAGCCGGCCUGAGAGGGUGUACGGCCACAUUGGGACUGAAAUACGGCCCAGACUCCUACGGGAGGCAGCAGUGCGGAAUAUGGCACAAUAAGCGCAAGCCUGAUGCAGCGACGCCGCGUGGGGGAUGACGGCCUUCGGGUUGUAAACUACUUUCGCUAGGGACGAAGCGUUUUGUGACGGUACCUGGAGAAGAAGCACAGGCUAACUACGU
rnacentral:rRNA from 1 species